AAAAGGGUGCCAGGAAGGUGAUUUGCAGUUACCCCUAGAGGGUGGGGUGGGGGACUUGGCUAGGGACAAGGAGGAGUUCUAGGGGGAGAGUAAGCCCUGGUAUCUUGCCUUGGAUUACAGACUCUGGCAGGAAGUUGAGAGGGGUGAAGUAGCCCCAGGAAGUGGAGGAAGCUCCAGGGGUAAACCCAGAAAUGGGCCAGAAGAUAGAGGAGAGGUAGGAAAGAGCUCAGGGACACAGCAACAGGACCAGAGCUUGAGCAGACUGUGGUUGCUAGGGAUAGGGUCCCUGAGCUGGAACCCAGAGUAGUGGGUGGGCCUCGGUUCCCCUAUUGGCCACUGGGAAAGUGGCCCAAACUUCAAAGUGGAUCAGAAGAUUGGCUAAACCACAGAUAAGACAAUUUGUCCAGUGGGACUUUGACACCCCAGAAGCAGAGGACUAUAGUAACCUGGCUGAAGGGCCAAGACAUGAAGAGGGAGCACCUCAAGUUCAGAGAGAGGCCAUGGAGCAAGCAACUAAUGGAGAGGGCAUCAGACCAGGACAAAGGGAGACCCUGUUGGUGGGCACUAAGCAGCAUUGGCUGUGUUAGUCUUGGAAUCAGAGAGAACGACCAGAGGGUCUGUCUGCGUCCAGCAGCCUUAAUAAAGAAUCCCCUUUAUGAUCAAUAAAGCCGAGCUCUAGAAGAAAGAUUUCAGAGGUCACAAAGCAAGAUUCACUCUUCAGUAAAACAUUUCCCAAAGAACAAGAGCAGAAGUAAGUCUGGAAGCAUGCUCAAAGGAAGGAGCCAGUUACUAUUAUCUGAAGCUAGCGGACUACAUUAUGAAUUUAAAUAUCCGUGUAGGUUAGUUUUUUUUUUUUUUUUUUUUUGGGUUAGGGCAGAGAUUUGUUUCAAUAGGAGAGGGGCUGUUGUGUCAUAUAGACAUUCAUUACCUGUUGCUGUGCUUUGUUAAAGGGGCAAACAUUUUUACCUGAGUCAAGUUAAAUAAAUAAAUAACCAGGCUCUCCUUACUGUCCUCUAUUAAAUGUGAAUUGAAAAGGAAACAAAUAGCUGAAUGAUUGAAAAGUAAUCAUGUAGAAAUUUUCUGAUGGGGGGGGAAAAAUAAAUUUUUCCUGCCAAACCUUUUUCACCGUGGGAUCAACACUAUAGCUGGUGUCCACUGAAGUAUGGUGUUAAUAUAACACACAUUCUGAGUGUCCUGCUUUCUAAUAUGGUCAGGUAUUCCACAAUAUACUAGACUGAGGAUCUGAUCCUGAAAAUCCUCCAUGCGCAAACUGUGAUUGACUUCAGGGGCAUGUGGACUUCUUGCAAGACCAGUCCCUAAAUUUUCCUUUGCAAAUACAUGGAAACCCCUCAAAUGUUUCAAAACGUAAAGCAGUUCUUGAGCAGGUGACGGAGAUUUUUUUCAUUGAAUUUAGCUGCAACCAAUCAGAAUGCACUUGUUUGCAUGUAUGUGAUUGGACAACUCUGUGGCGGUAAAUAACAGAAUCUCUUUGACUGUCACAUGGCUGUUUUCAGCUAACCACGAGCCAGGUUUGUCAUCAUGGAUGUAAAUAUUAUCCAUUAGCCAAUGAAUUUAUUAUGCAGCAUCACUACAUAACAUUGGAAGCCACUCAAAGCAAACUUCAGUUCAAGAACUAUUCAGAAAGUAAAUGCCAGCUCUUUCCAGGCUUUCCCACGAUAGUGCCCUCAUUCUCAUAGAUUCAUUCAUUUUGAAAACUCAAACCUAUACCCUAAGCCACUGAGUGGUAAGGAAGGAAGGAGGCCAGGGCAAGAGAGCGAGUGAGCAUUGUUAUCUUUUAAGUAAUGGAGACAUUAGG